UGGGGAAUUUUGGACAAUGGGCGCAAGCCUGAUCCAGCCAUGCCGCGUGAGUGAAGAAGGCCUUCGGGUUGUAAAGCUCUUUCGGCCGGGAAGAAAUCGUGUUCUCUAACAUAGGACAUGGAUGACGGUACCGGACUAAGAAGCACCGGCUAACUACGUGCCAGCAGCCGCGGUAAUACGUAGGGUGCGAGCGUUAAUCGGAAUUACUGGGCGUAAAGCGUGCGCAGGCGGUUUUGUAAGACAGAUGUGAAAUCCCCGGGCUUAACCUGGGAACUGCGUCUGUGACUGCAAGGCUGGAGUACGGCAGAGGGGGGUGGAAUUCCACGUGUCGCAGUGAAAUGCGUAGAGAUGUGGAGCAACACCGAUGGCGAAGGCAGCCCCCUGGGCCUGUACUGACGCUCAUGCACGAAAGCGUGGGGAGCAAACA
rnacentral:rRNA from 1 species